AAUGCAAUGCACAUGACCGCUAUGGUGCGUAGCCCGAUCCAUGGGUACCCUGCGCUCAUUGGGGGUGUGUACAGACUCCGGAGGGGCUCCUACAGCCCAAGCGCAAAAAUGAUGCGGCGUGCAGCCCGAUCCAUGCAAUAAGCUAUUGCGACGUGCAGUCCGAUCCAUGCAAUGAGCUAUUACGGUGCGCAGUCCGAUCCAUGCAAUAUGCUACUGCGGCGUGCAGUCCGAUCCAUGCAAUAUGCUACUUCAGCAUGCAGUCCGAUCCAUGCAAUAUGCUACUGUGGCGUGCAGUUCGAUCCAUGCAAUAUGUUACUGCGGCGUGCAGUCCGAUCCAUGCAUGUUUAUGCACAUGCUCACACCACUCCAGGCCUGAAAGCCUCCUUACAGCAUCUUCAUGCCCUCACAUAUGGCCCUCAGCCUCAAUCAGUCCAAAAUAGUCAAAAGCCUCUCGGGCUUUCGUAAACAAUUAUACUCAGCUCAAAUGAUAGUUCAAAUGUCGUUUAAAACUCCAAGUUUGAGUAAAUAGUCAAAAGCCCCUCGGGCAUCCGUAAAACGGUAAUGCUCAGCUCAAACAAUAGUACAAAUAUCAGUUAAAUUUCCAAGUUUGAGAAAAAUAUAGCUGAGUUCAUGAAACAAUAUAAAUCACAUGGACUGAGUUCAAAUAAUAUUUCAAAUAGUAAGGAAAACUGUGAUGAUUGUUCAUAAAGAGUUCAAAUAAUUGGCAAUAAGUCCCGAGUAUGGCAAUGAGCCCAAGUCAUAAUGAUAACAAUAAAUCAUUUGCAAAUUAUGCGGAGAAAACCAACAACAGGGACGGACCAAGUCACAAUCCCCAACGAUGCUCUACCCAUGCUCAGGUCCAGCGUGCAAGUCACCACAUACAGCACUAAGAGGUGCAAAUCCGGGGUUUCAAACCCUCAGGAUAUCAUUCCCAAGUAUUACUGACCUCGAACCGGCGAAAUCUCAAGUUCGCGAAGCCUUUGCCCCUUAAAUCAGUCUCCACGCGCGUCAAAUCUAGCCAAAAAUAGAGCGAAUACAUCACAAUAUGCAAAUGGGACAAUACCCAAUCGAAAACAAUCGAAUUAUAGCAAGAACCUCGAAACUAGCAAAACCCGAGCUCGGGCCCUCUUCUCGUAAAAUUACAAAACUCACAUUACCUGAUCCCUCGUCUUGCCACGAGUUCACACAUACCAAGAACUCUCAAAUCCGAGUUCAAAUGACCUAUCAAAUUCCAAUUUGAAAUACCAAAACUCAAGCCCUAGCUUUAGCCCCCUUUUAAUGAAUUUCAAUCAAUUUCCAUGCUAAUUCUAUCAUAAUCUCGUGUAAUUAAGCCAAGGAACUUACCUCUAAUCAUUCCUCCUUAAAUCCCUCUUCAAAAUCGCCGCAAAGCUCUCAAAGCUCGCUCAAAAAUGGAGAAAAAUGCAUAAUCCUCGCGGAUGAAAUGUUCUAAUUAAACCUUUCUGCCCAGAACGCAUUCCGCUUCAGCGGUCCUCUUACCACCUACGCGAAUUCCGCUUACGCAUCCCUUUGACCGCUUCAGCGGUUUGACUUGAAUCUUCAGUGACCGCUUCUGCGGUCCUUGACCGCAUCCACGGCUACCGCUUUCACAUUCCAAAUUCCGCUUCUGCGGUCCCAGCCAUAUUCCCCUUGGCCGCUUUUGCGGCUCAUCAAGCGCUUCUGCGGACACCGCUUAAGCGGUCCAUCGUCCGCAAACUCGGAAAUACCAGAAAACAAAAUCCCAAAUCUGAAGCAUACUGCAAAUAUUCUCGUUUAACCAUCCGGAAUCACCCCGAGGCCCCCGAGGCCAAACCACAAACUCAGACAUGACCAAAUACCUCAUUCAAACUUACUCGAGCCAUGAAAACACCAAAAAUCACCAAAUUCCUCAAAUCCAAGCGUAAGUUAACUUUGAUUUUUUCCAAAAUCACAUUCGAUGUUGAACCCAACCAAACGAAGUCCGAAUGACCUGAAAAUUUGCAGACAUAUCCAAAAUCACUAACAAAGCUACCGCAACUCUUGGAAUUCCAUUCCGACCCUCGGAUCAAAAUCUCACCUAUCAACCAGAAUCCGCCAAAAUUNN
rnacentral:lncRNA from 1 species